CGUGCCAGCAGCCGCGGUAAUACAUAGGUCACAAGCGUUAUCCGGAAUUAUUGGGCGUAAAGCGUUCGUAGGCGGUUUGUUAAGUCUGGAGUUAAAGACUGGGGCUCAACCCCAGCCCGCUCUGGAUACUGGCUGACUAGAGUUACAUAGAGGUAAGUGGAAUUCUUAGUGGAGCGGUGGAAUGCGUAGAUAUUAGGAAGAACACCAAUGGCGAAGGCAGCUUACUGGAUGUACACUGACGCUCAGGGACGAAAGCGUGGGGAGCAAACAGGAUUAGAUACCCUGGUAGUCCACGCCGUAAACGAUGAUCAUUAGCCGCUAGAAUAUUUAGUGGCGCAGCUAACGCAUUAAAUGAUCCGCCUGAGUAGUAUGCUCGCAAGAGUGAAUCUUAAAGGAAUUGACGGGGACCCGCACAAGCGGUGGAGCAUGUGGUUUAAUUUGAAGAUACGCGUAGAACCUUACCCACUCUUGACAUCUUCCGCAAUACUAUGGAGACAUAGUGGAGGUUAACGGAAUGACAGAUGGUGCAUGGUUGUCGUCAGCUCGUGCCGUGAGGUGUUAGGUUAAGUCCUGCAACGAGCGCAACCCCUGUCUUUAGUUACUAACGGAUAAUGCCGAGGACUCUAGAGAGACUGACUGGGUAACCAGUAGGAAGGUGGGGACGACGUCAAAUCAUCAUGCCUCUUACGAGUGGGGCAACACACGUGCUACAAUGGACGGUACAAAGAGAAGCAAUAUGGUGACAUGGAGCAAACCUCAAAAAACCGUUCUCAGUUCGGAUUGAAGUCUGAAACUCGACUUCAUGAAGUUGGAAUCGCUAGUAAUCGUAGAUCAGCUACGCUACGGUGAAUACGUUCUCGGGUCUUGUACACACCGCCCGUC
rnacentral:rRNA from 1 species